rnacentral:rRNA from 1 species
AUAGAGACUCAGAGCUGCAUAUCAAUAAGCGGAGGAAAAGAAACUAACUAAGGAUUCCCUCAGUAACGGCGAGUGAAGCGGGAAGAGCUCAAAUUUGAAAUCUUCAAGGUUUUACCUUGACGAAUUGUAGUUUAAAGAAGUGUUUUCUGUUAGAUUUGAGUAGAAAAGUUCUUGGAAAGGGACAUCAUAGAGGGUGAGAAUCCCGUAUUUGGAUCAUUACUUCCUAGCUUUGUGAUACACUUUCAAAGAGUCGGAUUGUUUGGGAAUGCAGUCCAAAAUGGGUGGUAAAUUUCAUCUAAAGCUAAAUAUUGGCGAGAGACCGAUAGCGAACAAGUACCGUGAGGGAAAGAUGAAAGAACUUUGAAAAGAGAGUUAAACAGUACGUGAAAUUGUCAAAAGGGAAGCGUUUGACACCAGUGUUGUUUUUCCGAAAAUCAAUUACGAAUGGCUUGAUUUUGUGUUGUAUUGACCUUAUCAGCUUUCUGCACUUUUUUCGAGUCUUUCUUAAUGCACUUUUCGGUUAACAAGUCAACAUCAAUUUCUUUUGUUGUAAAAGAGUCAUUGGAAGGUGGCUUUCUUUUCGGAGAAAGUGUUUAUAGCCUUAUGCCUCUACAAUCGGAGAGAUUGAGGUCUGCAGCGUAGAUCCUUCGGGGUUAGAUACAUUUGUGCUAAGUUAUAGCCUUUCAUAGACAACUUGUUGACUAUGAUUAGUCAUGUCGCUUACUCGCUUAUGCUAUUUUACCUACGCUUAGGAUGUUGACGAUCAGCUGAGCGCG